CGGGGUUUAGCUUAGUCUGGUAAAGCGCCUGGUUUGGGACCAGGAGAUCGCAGGUUCGAAUCCUGCAACCCCGACCA
rnacentral:tRNA from 1 species